CUUUCACUUCCUGCAACUAGUUCCAACAUGGCGCUGUAGGCAGAGGAGCUGAUCGGGGAAAAGCCACUUCUGGAGGAUGUGAACUUGGAUAUUUCCAGCCCCAGAUUCCCCUUAAAGAUCUCCCUGCCUGAAAACACCAGGAAGUCAAACAAGAGUGGCUGCGGCGGAAGCUGAUGUGGGCAUAAGCAUUACACUGGGAGCCAAAAACCUUGCAGGUUAAAAGUAAUUACUUCAUGUGGUGUUUGGAAUCGGCAACAAACGAGGAAGAAGCAGAAUAAAAAAAGAUUGAACAACUAAGAGAUGAGAAAAUGGACCAUCAGUGCUCUAUUGAUGUACGGAUAUAGAUAAGUUGACCAUCUUGUGUGUAAUUGUUAUGUCGUUUAAUGUUGUUCUGUGCAACCUGGGCUAAUGGAUUGACUGUUCAAGAAGGAACUGCAGAUGCUGGAAAAUCGAAGGUAGACAAAAGUGCUGGAGAAACUCAGCGGGUGUGGCAGCAUCUAUGGAGCG